CCGCAUAUUCGACGAGGGAGACCUAGUCGGCGCCUUCCUGUUUCGAUCACCGCUAGUAUUAGACAUGCUUAUCUUCCAGAUGACGUAAAAACAGAGAUCAGAAGAUGGAAUCGCAAGUUACGAUAGCGAUGCGGGAUGAAAAACAAGAGAUAUAAAGCAACGAAUGAAAAAAACUAGGGUUGAAGAUUUCAAAACCAAGAAGGUGAUCUCAUUGCCCGCAACACCCUUACGUCCACCAGUCAAUGUGGUGUUAAGUGUACUAUCACUGCCGGUGUGUCAUAAAAUACACAUCACUGCCACUGUCAUAAUUUUAAAAAAUUAUUCAAAAGGGAAUCAGCUGCUUGGCCAUCAGAACUUUUUUCCCAGAGAAUUUUUUUUCUGCCGAAAAAUAUUGACAAGCAGCCUAAUCGUUAGGGAUUUUUUUUGAAUAAUUUACACUACCAGCGACCAAGCCGUCGGCAAAUUAUUUUAAAAAAAUAUGUCAGCGGCUAAACCGUCAGGACCAUUUUUGUUAAAAUCGAAAUCUACAAUUUAUUACCGAUGACAUAUUUUUUAAAAUUUACAAUUUAAAUAAUAAAAAAAUUGAAAUAAAAAAAAAUUGAAAUAAAAAAAAAUUGAAAAAUUUCAAAUAAUAUUUUUUUAAAAAUUAUUCUAAAGGAUAUCAACUGCUUGGCCACCAAAACUUUUUUCCCAGAGAAUUUUUUUUCUACCGGAAAAUAUUGACCAACAGCCUAGCCGUUAGGGAUUUUUUUUGAAUAAUUUACACUACCAACAGCCUAGCCAUCGGUAGAUUAUUUUAAAAAAAUAUGCCAACGGCUAAACCGUCAGGACCAUUUUUGUUAAAAUCGAAAUUUACAAUUUAUUACCGGCGGCCUUCGCCGGUAUAUUACAAUUAUGGCGACAUUACUUCUGACGAUUGAAUAGCGUCGGAUUGACCGCCAUGAACCAUUAUACCGGCUUGGCCGUCAAGAAUUUGUCGUCAGAACAACGCUGGUUUUUUGUAGUGUCUGCGGGUCGAAUUGUUCAAACACGAAUGUUACCAUGCAAGGUCCUUUUUUUGACUGCAAAAUCGAAUCGUCGAUUUGGAAUUUUCGCUUACAUCCAACUUUCCGAACACUAUAGUAAUUUCGACCGACGAUGAAGUCGCGAAAACAACGAUGAGACGUGAGUUAAUGAUAACUAUAGUUAGUUGAAUAAUAAUUUAGUAAACUUAUGUGAAAUUUUUAUUAUGAUUAGUUUAACAAUAGUUCACUUGAACUAUGAACUAAAUAAAUUAUAACGUCAAAUCCAGAUAUAUGAAAGAAAAAGUCAUGAAUGAAAAAUAGACACAAAGCAUAAAUUAAGAAGAAGAAAAAAUUAAAAAAAUUGGACAUUCAAAUCAGUUUUUUUGUUGAAAAUCAAGAAUACAAAGUUAAAUCAAAAAUACGUAAAACAUAAACAAUAUGAAACCACUUGAACUCCUAACUAAAUAAAUUAUAAGUUCAAAUACGGAUUUAUGAAAGGAACAGUUAUGUAUGAAAGACAGAUAUAAAGCAUAAGGAAGAAGCAUUAAAAAAGAACUUGGACUUUUUUAUGAACACCCAAAGACAAUAAACCACAAUAAAGAACACCUGAAAUAUGAUUCAAAGUAAAAAAUAAUGAAAAUGAUACUGAGUAAGAAGAACUGGUGUCUAUUUCAAAGAAACUGGUUUCCUUUAUAGAAGAACUAGUUUCUGAUUCAAUAUUUCAAAUACUUUAAUUUUGUUUUGGAGUUCCAUCUGAGUGAAUACCCAAAGUCAAUAAGAACGAUGAAACCCCGAUUAAAAAGAUUUGGAAAACACCCGAACAGUAGAUUAUGUGUUAAGAACCAGAACACAAAAAUGAAUCAGAGAAAAAUAUAUUACCGAAUUUGUAUAAGCAAAAAUAUGAAUUGAAUUUUUAGAAAAAAAAUAUAUAAGUUGAGAAAUGAAAAAAAAAAUUAUUUACCCUUUUUAAACGAUUUAAGUCUUGUAAUUUAAUAUUUUCGUAAAAUUUCUUUUAUCAUAUAACACAUUCAACCUGCAAAAAAUAAAACAAACUAUGAGCAAAAAAAAUAUACCUCGAAACUUAAAAAAUCUAAAAUGAA
rnacentral:lncRNA from 1 species